rnacentral:sRNA from 1 species
AUCUUUACCGUCACGCCACGCCCGGUCUUGAAUCCCGCCUCUGCCAGCCAGUCACCCUUAAGGCACAGGCCGGUGCGGGUAUCCGGCAGGGAAUUUGGUUUUACGAUUGGUGCGG